rnacentral:rRNA from 1 species
UUGAACGCUGGCGGCAGGCCUAACACAUGCAAGUCGCGCGGAUGAAGGGAGCUUGCUCCUGGAUUCAGCGGCGGACGGGUGAGUAAUGCCUAGGAAUCUGCCUGGUAGUGGGGGAUAACGUCCGGAAACGGGCGCUAAUACCGCAUACGUCCUGAGGGAGAGAGUGGGGGAUCUUCGGACCUCACGCUAUCAGAUGAGCCUAGGUCGGAUUAGCUAGUUGGUGGGGUAAAGGCCUACCAAGGCGACGAUCCGUAACUGGUCUGAGAGGAUGAUCAGUCACACUGGAACUGAGACACGGUCCAGACUCCUACGGGAGGCAGCAGUGGGGAAUAUUGGACAAUGGGCGAAAGCCUGAUCCAGCCAUGCCGCGUGUGUGAAGAAGGUCUUCGGAUUGUAAAGCACUUUAAGUUGGGAGGAAGGGCAGUAAGUUAAUACCUUGCUGUUUUGACGUUACCAACAGAAUAAGCACCGGCUAACUUCGUG